UUUGAAGCGUGGACGCCAGUCUGCGUGGAGCCGACCUUGAAAUACCACCCUUUAAUGUUUGAUGUUCUAACGUGGAUCCGUAAUCCGGGUUGCGGACAGUGUCUGGUGGGUAGUUUGACUGGGGCGGUCUCCUCCUAAAGAGUAACGGAGGAGCACGAAGGUUGGCUAAUCCUGGUCGGACAUCAGGAGGUUAGUGCAAUGGCAUAAGCCAGCUUGACUGCGAGCGUGACGGCGCGAGCAGGUGCGAAAGCAGGUCAUAGUGAUCCGGUGGUUCUGAAUGGAAGGGCCAUCGCUCAACGGAUAAAAGGUACUCCGGGGAUAACAGGCUGAUACCGCCCAAGAGUUCAUAUCGACGGCGGUGUUUGGCACCUCGAUGUCGGCUCAUCACAUCCUGGGGCUGAAGUAGGUCCCAAGGGUAUGGCUGUUCGCCAUUUAAAGUGGUACGCGAGCUGGGUUUAGAACGUCGUGAGACAGUUCGGUCCCUAUCUGCCGUGGGCGCUGGAGAACUGAGGGGGGCUGCUCCUAGUACGAGAGGACCGGAGUGGACGCAUCACUGGUGUUCGGGUUGUCAUGCCAAUGGCACUGCCCGGUAGCUAAAUGCGGAAGAGAUAAGUGCUGAAAGCAUCUAAGCACGAAACUUGCCCCGAGAUGAGUUCUCCCUGAGACUUAGAGUCUCCUGAAGGAACGU
rnacentral:rRNA from 1 species